AAAACCAUAAGACGGGGAGGCUCCGACCUCGACUAGCAUGGGAUCAAAAAAAAUUAUACAUCGCGCUCACUGGGAAGGGCCAUUCCCUUCCGGUCCCAGACCGGAAACACCCAUGCCCCUUGACCGGACGACUGGAUUUAGACCACGGCCGUGGAUACCUUCAUCCUGGUCCCUCUACUUGGUGUGUGACUGAUAAUAGGUCUGCAACUGACUAUACUGAAUCCAUUAUCCAGGAAGCUAUGGUAGCACGCAAAUAAGGAGACAUACUAACAAGACUUGAUCUCGGUCGACUCGGGAGGUUUUAAGUAUUACAUGCAUGAUUAGCACCAACAAGAUGCAGACAGAGUUACUACCUGCCCUAACAUGCCUUGCUGACCACUCUCGUCCCACGAGAUGUCAGUCCCACGGUCGUGUCUCCACAAGACACCGACUUUUACUGAAUCCCAUCCAGUAGACAUGUAGGGUAGGAAGGUGUGACCACUGGCCAUGCAUCGCAAUGUAACAAUCUUUGCUCAAAAAUCAUGAAACCACAUACAUGAUUAUCACAUGAAAUAACACCACACAUUAAACAUAUCCAUAUAUUAUUCUCACCAAGCAAACCACACAUAACCAAGAUAAAUGUAGGUUCAGGAUGCUUGCCUUCCAAGUGUAGAGAGGUAGGGUUUCACCACAAAAGUUUUGCAAGUUUUG
rnacentral:lncRNA from 1 species